rnacentral:rRNA from 1 species
AUGGCCCUGCUAGCGGCGCACGCUGACAUCCUCGCGUGCGUCCUCGGCCAUCUCGCGCCGCGCAGCCUCGCUGUGUCCCGCAGUGUCUGCAAAGGCUGGCGCGCCAUUGUCGACGACUACCGCCUGCUGCGGACGGACCUCCUCCCGCUCUCGCUCCACGGUAUCUUCUUCAUGGAGGAGCUCUGUCCAGACCCACCAAAGCUCUUCGCAAACCCACUCACAAAGCACAGAAUUGACGACGCAAGCCUUGGUUAUGUCAAGAACGACGAGGGUUCAUUUAUCGAGAAUCACUGCAACGGGCUUCUCUUGCUUUGGAACCACCUCGUGGUUAAUCCGGCGACUCGUCAAUGGGUGCGUUUGCCUCCGCCCCCGCCUAGGUGCACAGGGAUGGAGGACUUUCGCAACGACGUGUGCCUUGUUUAUGACCCCACCGUGUCGCCGCACUACGAUGUGCUUCUUCUUCCUUGUGUCUCCUACGGUCUUCUUGAUUGCGCAACAACAAUAUUCACGGAGGAAUCGGAGUGGCCGCCCUUGGCCUACCCAAUACAAGUCUUCUCUUCAAGGACAUGGAGAUGGGAGGAGAGGUCGUUGGCCCGGAGAGGAGAGGCUGCAGGGACCAUCGCUGACAUGGAUCCAUAUAGGGAUUAUGAACACCGUUAUGCCGUCUACUGGAAAGGAGCGAUCUAUGUGCAUUGUCAAAAUGACUCCAUUUUACGGUAUGCAUCUG